rnacentral:snRNA from 1 species
AUCGCUUCUCGGCUUUUUGGCUAAGAUCAAGUGUAGUAUCUGUUCUUAUCAGUUUAAAAUGCUUACAUCAUCUAAUCUGAUGAUUUCACUUACCUAUUCUAGGAAGGAAAGUUGACAUAUGGAGGCCAUAGUAGACAUCUUUUGAGGUAUAUUCUCUGCUUACAAUGAUUCAACUUUC